rnacentral:rRNA from 1 species
ACACGACUACAUUAGAUACCCGGGUAGUCCUAGCCGUAAACGAUACUCGCUAGGUGUCGGCCACGGUGCGACCGUUGUCGGUGCCGUAGGGAAGCCGUGAAGCGAGCCACCUGGGAAGUACGGCCGCAAGGCUGAAACUUAAAGGAAUUGGCGGGGGAGCACCGCAACGGGAGGAGCGUGCGGUUCAAUUGGAUUCAACGCCGAAAACUCACCAGGAGCGACGGAUAUAUGAAGGUCAAGCUGAUGACUUUACCUGAUUUCCG